UACGUAGGGUGCGAGCGUUGUCCGGAAUUACUGGGCGUAAAGAGCUCGUAGGUGGUUUGUCGCGUUGUUCGUGAAAACCGGGGGCUUAACCUUCGGCGUGCGGGCGAUACGGGCAGACUGGAGUACUGCAGGGGAGACUGGAAUUCCUGGUGUAGCGGUGGAAUGCGCAGAUAUCAGGAGGAACACCGGUGGCGAAGGCGGGUCUCUGGGCAGUAACUGACGCUGAGUAGCGAAAGCGUGGGGAGCGAACAGG
rnacentral:rRNA from 1 species